GGGCGCUGCAGUUCACAAUAACACAAGUCAAUAAAACCCACUGUACUACAAUUAACAUAAAGGUUUUAAUUCUGUAAUUACUAAGAGUUAUCUAAUUUCCUAAAGUAUUUUUUUUAACAAACCCGAGUCCAACAGAGUGUAGCUACGUCUUCUUUCUUCAGCUAGCCCACAGCGCUUAACUUUCCGCGUAGUAUCAAACAUAUAACAGCGUCGUAUCUUGUUUGUUGAGAAUUUCAACGGAUAUGUCUUAUGAACAAAAGCGUGACGAAACUUGCUAACAAUCUGAAUAUUCUUAAAUCGCUUCGAGAUGGUUUUCUGUCGAUCUUAAAUGAACUUGAGCGUAUAUAGUCAGCGAACUUUAGUAUACUUCCAACAAAAGCAAGAUAUCUUUCCACGUUGUUCUUCUCCUGAAGGUCGUCGUCGGUUUUUGAAUGUUUAGGAACUCUUUCCUUGCUUGUCCUGUUUUUCCUCUGCUCGCUUCAAACUCUGGGCUCCUUAUAUAAUCCAUUAAUUUACAUAUUCAUAAUAUAUAGUUAUAUACAGCUAUUCUUUUAUCACACCUUCCCGCCAAAGAUCAUAUUACAACUGUAAUUGAUCCAAUGCUGUUAAAAAAUCUGACGAGUACACAUACACCAGCAACAACUCCCAAACCGGUCGGAGAGGAGCAGCCAGACGAAAAAUACCCAUCGGCAGGGAAGGUUCCUACACUCCCACGGGACUUUACUCAAUUCUACUUAACGCAUCGGCGUCCACAUUCUUUUCCCCCGCCUUAUGCUCAUACUCUAUCUCAUACUCUUGAAGAGUCAAACUCCACCGCAGCAACUUACGAUUUUUAUCCUUUACUUGAUGAUAUACACGUUUUUGUUUGUCCCCCUUUCCCCUAUCAACUUCAUAAUUUAAUCCAUUCUCAAACGCUUUACUUACAAUAAAGGGUCCUUGCC